rnacentral:rRNA from 1 species
CUACGGGUGGCUGCAGGCGAGAAAACUUUGCAAUGUGCGAAAGCACGACAAGGUUAAUCCGAGUGGUUUCUGCUAAAGGAACCUUUUGUCGGUCCUAGAAACACCGAUGAAUAAGGGGUGGGCAAGUUCUGGUGUCAGCCGCCGCGGUAAAACCAGCACCUCAAGUGGUCAGGAUGAUUAUUGGGCCUAAAGCAUCCGUAGCCGGCUCUGUAAGUUUUCGGUUAAAUCUGUACGCUUAACGUACAGGCUGCCGGGAAUACUGCAUAGCUAGGGAGUGGGAGAGGUAGACGGUACUCGGUAGGAGGGGGUAAAAUCCUUUGAUCUAUUGAUGACCACCUGUGGCGAAGGCGGUCUACCAGAACACGUCCGACGGUGAGGGAUGAAAGCUGGGGGAGCAAACCGGAUUAGAUACCCCCGUAGUC